rnacentral:rRNA from 1 species
CAGUACCGUGAGGGAAAGGUGAAAAGUACCCCUGUUAGGGGAGUGAAAUAGAACCUGAAACCAUGUGCCUACAAGGUGUAAGAGCAAGGACUUGUCCUUGUGAUUGCGUGCCUUUUGCUUAAUGAGUCUACGAGUUAGUGUCUGUGGCAAGCUUAAGUCCUUCUGGGACGCAGGCGUAGCGAAAGCGAGUCCGAAUAGGGCGAUCAUAGUUGCAGGCGCUAGACCCGAAGCGGAGGCGACCUACCCAUGGCCAGGUUGAAGCGUCAGUAAAAUGACGUGGAGGACCGAACCGAUGUGUGUUGAAAAACGCUCGGAUGAGCUGUGGGUCGGAGUGAAAGGCUAAUCAAACCCCGUGAUAGCUGGUUCUCCUCGAAAUGCAUUUAGGUGCAGCGUUGCGUGUUGAUGAGUGGGGGUAGAGCACUGACAGGGCUAGGGGGCAUACCCGCCUACCAACCCCUAUCAAACUCCGAAUACCAUUCAAUAGAGCGCAGCAGUGAGACAGUGGGGGAUAAGCUUCAUUGUCGAAAGGGAAACAGCCCAGAUCAGCAGCUAAGGUGCCUAAAUUGUGCUCAGUGGAAAGGAGGUGAGGUUUCAUAGACAGUGAGGAUGUUGGCUUAGAAGCAGCCACCAUUUAAAAAAUGCGUAAUAGCUUACUCAUCGAGAGACCCUGCGCCGAAAAUGAUUGGCGAUAAGCAUGAUACCGAAGCUCUGGAUGUCAGAGUCCUGCGGGACUCUGGCGUGGUAGAGGAGCAUUGUCAUCUGCAUUGAAGCGGGAAGGCGACUGACCGUGGAGUGAUGACAAGAGAGUAUGUAGACAUGAGUAACGAUAAGCCGGGUGAAAUCCCCGGCCGCCGUAAACCCAAGGUUUCCCGGGCAACGUUUUUCGUCCCGGGGUUAGUCGGGACCUAACCCGAGGCCGAUAGGCGUAGGGGAUGGUAAGCCGGUCAAUAUUCCGGCACCUGCAAAGUGGAUGGGGACGCUUUUUGAAUUGCAACCAGGUUAUUGAAUUCUGAGGGGAAGCUUCGGCUGAACCGUAUUGCAUGAAGAAGAGCCAAGAAAAGCCACCACGACUAAAAGCAGCCCGUACCGUAAACCGACACAGGUGGGUGGGUAGAGUAUACCAAGGCGCAAGAGUGAAACCUGGUCAAGGAACUCGGCAAAAUAGCCCCGUAACUUCGGGAGAAGGGGUGCCCCACUUCGGUGGGGCCGCAGUGAAAUGGGUCAACCGACUGUUUAGCAAAAACACAGCAUUGUGCUAAGACGCAAGUCGAUGUAUACGAUGUGACACGUGACCAAUGCCAAAAGAUUACGAUGAGAUGUUAGCUCUUUAGAGCGAAGCUUCGAGUCCAAGUCCUGGUGAAUGUCGGCCGUAACUAUAACGGUCCUAAGGUAGCGAAAUUCCUUGUCGGGUAAGUUCCGACCUGCACGAAUCGUGCAACGAGUUGACCACUGUCUCGACCAGGAGCUCAGUGAAAUUGUAGUGCCGGUGAAGAUGCCGGCUACCCGCAGAAGGACGGAAAGACCCUAUAGACCUUAACUGUAAGCUGUUACUGGUUAUUUGAUUUUAAUGCUCAGCAUAAGUGGGAGACUUUGAAGGAUACGUUUAGGCGUAUCUGGAGUCGCCAGUGAGAUACCACCCUUUGACAUUGAAUAAUCUAACCCCGAGCCGUAAUCCGGCCGUGGGGACCGUGGCAGCCGGUCAGUUUUACUGGGGCGGUAUCCUCCCAAAGAGUAACGGAGGAGCGCGAAGUUUGGUUCAGCACGGUCGGUAACCGUGUGUCGAGUGUAAAGGCACAAACCAGACUAACUGUGAGACCCACAAGUCGAGCAGAUACGAAAGUAGGCCUUAGUGAUCCGGCGGUAGAAAGUGGAAUUGCCGUCGCUCAACGGAUAAAAGGUACCUUAGGGAUAACAGGCUGAUCGCGCCCAAGAGUUCAUAUCGACGGCGCGGUUUGGCACCUCGAUGUCGGCUCGUCGCAUCCUGGGGCUGGAGCAGGUCCCAAGGGUUGGGCUGUUCG